rnacentral:lncRNA from 1 species
GAAGCUGUAUAUUGAAGACAUUGAAGCCAAAAGGUGGAAGGAAUCUGAGUUCCUGAGUCAUCACUGAGAAUAAAGCCAUCACCAAUCAGGGUUACCUGUAUGGACAAUACUUGAAUGAAAAGCUUUUGUUCUAUUUGAGCUUUUAUAUUUUUUAUGUAUUUGAACUUAUUUGUCACAAUGGCUAGCAUUAUCUCAAUUAAUAUAAUACUCAUUCUUUUUAAUUUUAUUUAAAAAAUUAUUGGGGUAUAGUUGAUUUACAAUGUUAUAUUAGCAUUAGGUUUACAGCAAAGUGAAUCAGUUAGACAUCUACACAUAUCUAUUCUUUUUUUCCAUAUAAGUUAUUACAGAACAUUGAGUAAACCUCCCUGUGCUGUACAGCAGGUCCUUAAUACUCAUUUUGUGUGUGUGUGUGUGUGUGUGUGUGUGUGUGCGUGUGGAAUUAAUAGAUGCACACAGAGAAGCAGAUAUCUAGGUACAGAUUGUAUCAUUAGAUAUGUGGAGGCCAUAUGAUGCCAAUCUUCAAGGUAUGAAAAGAUAAAUGAUUCCAUGGGUAGGAAUGAGUUGGUAAACCAGCAAUCUAAAAUUCCCUUGCAGCCAUGAGACACAUCCCUCAGACUGAAGUUAACAGAAGCUUGAUCUCCCUUUGCACCUAUAAAUCUAUAAAUACCCUCUCUUCUUUAAGACACCUAUCGUUCCCAGCUGCUGUAGACUGAAUGUUUGUGUUCCUCCCAAAUCCAUUUGUUGGAAUCCCCAAUGUGUUGAUAUUAGGAGAUGGGGCCUUUGGGAGGUGACAAGGUCACGAGGGCUUCACCCUUACUAUAAUACUUUAACAUGAGAACUUGAUAUCUGUGGGGUUAAUGCACCUACAAGUCAGGCUGCAGAGAGUUCCUUCAUGCUCUCUUCCACUUGAGGAGAUAGCUGUCUAUGAACUAUGAAGUUAGACUUCAUCAGACAUGCUUAGCUGUUGGUGUCUGUAUCUUGGACUUCACAGCCCCAAGAACUGAUAUGCAUUUUUAGGAAGAAUGGCAAUAAUUGGUCUUUCAUUGCUGAAAUUUCAGGAGCAAAUUAAAAUGGAGCAAAGAUUAUUAAGCAGCAGAAGGCCAUUUACACUCUCAUCACCCCAAAGUAUUUGCAAUAUUCUAUCCAGAAUGCAGAGCUGAAUGAUAGUGGAGGUCUCAGAUCUUGAUAAAAAUAUAAAACCUCCUUCUCGGCCCUAAACUUCAACCUCUGGGCUUCUGUUAUUGAGGGAAAAAUAAUUCUUAACUGAAAUAGGCACCAAUGUCUUCUCAUGACCAUGUACUGCCUUCCAGCAUCAUGGAUGCUAAGUGACAGAGAGGAGAAGUAGAUGUUAUAGGGCCAGGAAAACUUUUUAGAAAUGCUUUGUCACGGAUUCAGUUUGACAAAGAUGUAAGAGAUGAGGCAACUGAAAAAAAUUCUACUCCACCUGGGACCUUUCUUCUUAGAAGGGUAGGACCUGGUGAUGAAGCCCAGACCUGAGGGACCAGAAGAAUCUGCAGUGACCUUGCCUACAGCCCCCACUCCCAGGCCUAAGAACUAAAGACAGCCCAUCUAGUAUAUCAGGACGUUAAAGGACCAGUUCUUGCUAUGAAUGAGAUCUGGAUAAAGUGUGUUAUUCCCAAGCAAGGUUUAAAGUCCUGGAUGAAUAUAGCAUCACUGCUGCCUCCGUGAGUCCUGGGCUGUUGCCUUCUCUCCUCACCCUCACCAUCUGUGGCCUGUCUGCUUGACUAACUGAGGAACUUCAUUCUAAAGUACCCUUAGGAUUAAAGCCUAACUCUACAUCUCAAGAUGGUUAGUUGGGAUUCAAGGCUAUCUUAUCCUGCUAUGCCCCUUUCCCACAGAGCUAAAUUCAGAUAGACUUUCUUGACUCAUAGCUGAGCCACCUACUCAGCAAUGGCCAGUCCUUUCCUAAAAGCCCUUGAAUCUUUUCUCCAGCAUUUAAUUUCAUGUGCUUAUGCUGCUCUUCACGGUAACCUGCCUUGAGGUCCUGGGCAAUGUAUUAUUUACCACCAUAUCCCCAGGGCUUAGCAUGGAGUUUGGUGCAGAGAAGGUCAAUUUUAAGUAUACACUGUCUAUGUAAAUGAUUUGGUGGUUUGGAAAACUGAUCCAUAGUGGAGAAAAGACCAACUCAUGCUGCUCUGAUUAAUUUUCUUUCUCCUGUUUGUUUCCACCUUAGGCCACAUAACCAAAGCCAUAACCCAGAGUUUGGCCAAGUGUCACCUAUAGAUUUUUCCCAACUGAGGAUAUGGGAAGUAGGAAGUGUCAAACAUAGUGAAACAUAGUGUAGUAACCUGCUACUACUGUUAGAGAUAGAGUAGGCACAGGUGGUUGUAGAAGUCCCAGUAGGGGAUCAUAGAUAAAGAGGGAAACCUGGGGGAUGUUGGGAGACCACUGUAAGUUCAGGAAAGCCAUCAGAACAAGGCAGGCUUGCUUAACUAGUGGAGGUGUGAGAAUUGCUUCAGGUCAUUGAGUGGGGGAUGGGAUGAGGCCUGCCUCCAGAUUCAGACCAAGGCCAGAGUUUGAAGACUGCCCUUCAGCUGAUUUGAAGACACAUCUUACCUGAUACUAAGGAGGAGCUACUACUCCCAGAAAGGAAGAGGCAGGCCUUUCUCCUCUUGGAGGAUAAAACUGUGGCCCACUGGCUCCUCAGGCAGAGCUUCCUUGCCUGCCCACUUGCAUCUCUUAUAAGCAUCCUAGCCUAACAAAUCUAUUUCUUGCCUAUCACUUUAUCUCUUGCUGAAUUCCUUCUGGGUGGAGGCAUAAAGAACCUGAACCUUAGUGAGUCCAGACAGAGGGUGAGUAACUUGAAUUUAAAACCAUGGGUUUAAAUGUCAAUCGACAGAUGAUUGGUUUAGGAAGAUGUGGUAUAUAUGCAAAAUGGAAUACUACUCAGCCAUAGAAAAGAACAAAAUAAUGCCAUUUGCAGCAACAUAGAUGGAACCAGAGACUCUCAUCCUGAGUGAAGUAAGUCAGAAAGAGAAAGACUAAUACCAUAUGAUAUCACAUAUCUGAAAUCUAAUAUUUGGCACAAAGGAAACUUUCCACAGAAAAGAAACUCAUGGACUGGGAGAAUAGACUUCUGGUUGCCGAGGGGGAAGGAGUGGGAUGGAUUGGGAGCUUGGGGAUAAUACAUGCAGACCACUGCCUUUGGAAUGGAUUAGCAAUGAGAUGCUGCUCUGUAGCACUGGGACCUAUGUCUAAUCACUUAUGAUGGAGCAUGAUAAUGUAAGAAAAAAAAUGUAUACAUGUAUGUGUGACUGGGUCACCAUGCUGUACAGUAGAAAAUAUAAAAUAAAAUAAUUUCCUUUAUAAGAAAAAAAAUAAUAAAGCCAUGGGUUUAAGUCCAAAUCUGGCUUUAGGUUGUGUUCAAGUCCUGGCAUGUGGAUUCAACUUCCAGUCUGGGUUUUGGCUGGGUUUAAGUCCUGGCAUGUGGGUUCAAGUCCUAAUCUGUGUUCUGGCUGUCAGUUUCACUACUACUAAAAGUUUUGGGCAAUAAGUUUUUUUUUUCCCCCCUAAGGGAAUAUAGAGCUGGCAGAAAUUUGACCUCAGGGAGAUGAGAUAGUUGAUCACACUGGAAAGGACUAAAGAAUGAAAAGUAGAUUGCUUUAAAUCUAAGGUUCUGAAAUACACGGAGCACAACGUGGCCACUAAAUCCUAACAAUAGUAUUUCAGUAGUAAUUGUAGGAGUAACUGUGGUGACUGCAACAAUUAUGAUCAUUGCCAUCUUGUCAUCACCAUCACCACCUAUUAGUAUUCGAAGGUCCUUCCAGGACUCCUGCUGCCAUAGCUGUGCCCCAAGGAAACAAUUCUCGCAUUCCCUCUGCUUUGUUUCUCCAGCUGUAGAGUCAGAGCCUUAGAAAGGGGAGAGAGACAGAUGGAGACCAGGUUAUACAUCCACACCUCACAUGCCAGGCAGCUGGGAAAAGGAAAUCCUCCAUUUCCAUCUCUGAGGAAAGUACGAGAUGUGAAUCACUUUUUCCAUAUUCCACAUAUAAAGGAUGGUGGACCUCUCCGAGGAUGUUUGUAUUUGAAUGAAGCUGGAAAACUUUCACCACACUACAUUGACUUUACAAUAUUUUGAUGCUUUUGUUUCCUAUUUCCCUCUGUAAACAUAUAAAAUAUCUUACUUUCCAUCUAAUUCAUGUGGAAUAUUACUGAAUAGAAAUAAUCAAAAUAACAAAAAUUGGUAAUGUCUAAAACUUUGCAUGAUUAAAUAUGUUUCAGGUGAAGGAGUUCCCAUCCUGGCACAGCAGAAAUGAAUCUGACUAGGAACCAUGAGGUUGUAGGUUUGAUCCCUGGCUUUGCUCUGUGGGUUAAGGAUCCAACGUUGCUGUGAGCUGUGGUGUAGGUCACAGAUACGGCUCAGAUCCUGUGUUGCUGUGGCUGUGGUGUAGGCCAGCAGAUGUAGCUCUGAUUUGACCCCUAGCCUGGGAACCUCCAUAUGCCAUGACUGCGGCCCUAAAAAAGAAAAAAUUGAGGAAUCAACUGGGGAAAUAAUGUUUUCUGGAGAAAUAAUGAAACCAUUAUAGGCUAAAACUAGAUAAAGUAAAAAAUUGACAAGACAUUAAUAAGUAAAUAAAAUAAUUUAGACAUAAUUUAUAGAUGCAAAAUUGAGUUAAGAAAAUUAGACUUUGGGGAAAUAAUGGCCCCCCCCAAAAACUUCCCAUGGCAGUUUAACACAGAUGAAAAAAUAAAUAGGGGUUCCCAUCGUGGCUGAGUGGUUAAUGAAUCUGACUAGGAACCAUGAGGUUGAGGGUUCGAUCCCUGGCCUUGCUCAGUGGGUUAAGGAUCCGGUGUUGCCGGGAGCUGUGGUGUAGGUUGCAGACGCAGCUCGGAUCCCGCGUUGCUGUGGCUCUGGCGUAGGUCGCUGGCUACAGCUCCGAUUAGACCCCUAGCCUGGGAAUCUCCAUUUGCCAC